GGGGCUCGUGGGCGCGGGCGGGGCGGCUCGCGGGUGGGCCCGCCGGCUCGCGGGGCCCCGUUUCCCGGUCUUCGCUCCCCCACGUAUCCGCGUCUCGCGGCUUCCCUCGCCGCGAUUCGCGACCUUAAAACUAACAAGAGGCUCUGCACGGGGCAACCUGCGGUGGCCCGGCGCGCGAGCGCCCGGGAAAGUUCCCGCAAAUUGCCGAGUUGGGGGCCCGCCCCGGCCGCGGGCGGGGCCGUUGCCCAGACCCCGGGCGGUGGCACCGCCGGCCCCGGUCACGCGCUCUAGAGGAGGAGGACGGGCACCUCUCUGGAGCUAAUCCCCGUGCUCGGCACGCGCGACCGGGACCGUGGACCCUGGGCAGCCCUACGAAGAAGGCGGGGCCCGCGGGGCUGGCAGAAAGCCAGCGCCCAGACCCACCGUUAAGUGGAAAAAGCAAAGAGCAUGAGAAAACUGAAGGCCAGAAAGGGUUAGCGACUCCCCAGGUCACACCACAAGUUAAGAGCGAUGGAGCCAGAGCACCUUCUCAACGGUCUGUGCCUGCAAGUUCCCAUCCUCCACCCUCCAGCCAGACCACAGAGUGAACUAGAUGAUUCAAAACAAAACGUGACCGCAACUUACCGGGCUCCCUUCUUGUCAGAGAAUAAGUCCCUGAGGGUCCCACUGAGCCCCAUCACACUCGCAUCCCGUUCUCCACUCCAUCCCCCCACCACGCACACUUUGCUCCCCCCGAGUUGAAUAACUUGCAUUUUCUGGAACAUACCUUGCUGUUUAAGGUUUCUCUGCCUUUGCUUACGCUCUCCUCUCUACCUGAAGCGCCCUUCCUCCCCUCCAGUGUGAGUUAAUGUGACCUAGGGAAGCCAGCAGGAGCCAUGUCAUCUGAUGGGCUUGGAUUCAGAAUCCCACUUCUGGCCCUUAAUUCUGUGCUUUCUGUAAGUUGCUUAAGGACCUCAGGGACAAUUCACCGGGAAAAUGGCCGUGACAACGGGUCUCCCUGGAGUAACUAACCUAAGAGCGUUUUUGGCAAUGGAACCACUCCUGUGAUGGUUCACAACCUAGAAGAGGUGUUUGUGACUAGGCCACAGGGCUGUACUGCUAGGGAACGAAGAUAGCACCUCCCUGCUGUUGGAAGCCAUGCUGGUGGUUUCAUCAGGAGGAGUCAACUGAGGGAGGAAUGGAAGACCGAGCAGAACCUGAGAAGCAGGAUUGGAAAUGCCCAAGGUUUUAGAAAGACCAUGAUCGCGUCACGAUCACCCCCCUGCUCUGAGGAUAACGUGGAUCGCCAAGGAGACAGCUUGAUCCAGGGGCCCCAACAAGUCCACGGACUCUGAGUUAGAAAAUUAAAGUCCCACUGAAAGGACUAUGGGGGCCCUGAACCAUCCACGUGGGGGGGUGUUGUGUGUGUGCCGUGUGUGUCCACGAGAGGGCAUGUGUGGAAGAACACAGAAUAAAUCAGGUGAAACCUGGCCUCUCGGGCCCAGCAUUGACCUUCCCUUUGUCCCAGCAUCUCCAUAUCUAGAAAUAUGAUCUGAAAGGGUUACUCUUUCUCUCUUUUAUUUCUUCCUCCUCUGCUGCCAUUUAUAAAGACAGUUUCUUAAAAGAUGCAUUUUUUGAAUACAUCAUGAAAAGUCAUUUCGCACUCGCCAGGUCUUGGCACAGAUUCCUAGAGAGGAUUUUUCCAGGGAAAAGGGGGCAGUUCUGAAGCCACACAGGCGCAUUCCCUGCCAUCCCCUCUGCAGCCCAGAUCUGCAGCAUGUAAGCUUUCAUUUUGAACAAAGUCAAGUCUAUUCAUGAAGAAUGAACAAUGAAACACCAUGGGUGCCAAAGCCUGGGUUUGGAAAUGCGGCUUCUGAAGUGGAACCAUGGCUGUGCUUCCCAGCAGGAGAAAGAUCUCCCACGGGGCCUCCCAAGUGCAUGAAGGACCCAGAGUGGUGGGGGCCCUACUGCCUUUCCUCAUCCGCAGGACCAGAAGCUAAGGAGCGGUGCUUGGUUCUGUUUUUGAUGUGACCUCUGCUGUCACGGUCGGGACUCCCGGAUGGUGAUGGCGGGGCACCAGCAGCACGUUAUCCGUGAUGCGUCACAGCCGAGGUACUUUUCCACUGGGCUCACAGCCACAGCCCUUCUCCAUCCUUCCGUAGAAUCACCGCACACCAUGGACACUUGCCUCUCUCUCUCCUGCUGGACUCCACUUCUUAGGGACAGUUUCCGGGUGCUCAAGCCUAUCCCAGUGCCUAGCACCCAGUUAUUAAAUUGACUCUCUAUUCCUUUAAAAAAAAAAAAGAAGAAGAACCACCACUUUUAGAAAUCAGACUGAAAACUCAGUCUCUUGCUUUCACACGAGCCUUCCUGGCGUGAAGACCUGCAGCUUGAUAGGAGUGGAGGGAGAAAAAACCAGAACCCUCGGUUUCAGGAAGACGGAGCCCAACCCCUGUGAUCAUUCAAAGAGAUUUCAGGAACUCCUCCACUAACGGCCCAAUUUCCCUGGCUUGAGAUUCGAGAGGAAACAGAAGAAAGACCCAGGGGGUUACUUAUACACCGAACAAGAAAUGCAGGAUAUAAAACUGUGCAUGUUGUUUGCUCCUGAUUGUUUAAAAAAAUAAUCAUCAGACUUAAACCUGGAAGGAACAAAGCCUGAGUGUUAACAGUGGUUCAUUCUGCGUAGAGGGGUGAUGGGUGAUGGAUGAUAGUUUCUGCUGCUUUUUAUGUUUUGCACUAACCAUUAAUACUAGGGGAGGGAGUAUUAAAAUGAAGGAAGGAAAGGUCAAGAAAGCCAAAGCCCUGUUAGGGGGCAACCUCCCCAGUCGUGCUCUCCUUAAAGCCAAGGCCCCCUCUCCUAGGGCCCCUCAACCCUGGGCUGUGCUCCUUCCUGGGGUCACUCCUAGUCCCUUAGGCACUUCAAACCCACUUUUUCCCGCCUCUGAGCUCAGCAUCUGCUCCAUCCGUGACUGCCUUCUACUCAUUGGUAGAGUGUGUACCAAGUGCUUAGCACUGAAUGAAUACAAAAAGAUUACAGAUUGUUCCAAAUCUAUAUUUUCUGACAUUUUAAAAUGAGGAUGCUUUUCUAUGUUUUUUAAUCCACCAAGAUAUCUAUAUGUCUUUAAAAAACAACAACCCUUGAAGUCUUUAGAUAAGCUCUUCUGGUAUCUGGACGUGGCUUAUCCACUCCUUUUCUGUUUUCCCUGUUUCACUGUCCCCAUCCCUAGGGGCCAGUUCUCUGCGUAGUGGCGCAAGGAAAUGGCCUUGCAAACUCUAUAGAGGUGGAAACUCCCAGGAUACCCUUGAAGAUGGUGUUUAGGAAUCACAACAUAAUUUAACAAUAAUCAGGACAGCUGGGUAUUGGCAUGUGGAUGAAAGUAUAGAUCAAUGGAACAGGAAG